UACCAGCACCCCGAGUGGUCGGGACGAUUAUUGGGCCUAAAGCAUCCGUAGCCGGUUUUACAAGUCCUCCGUUAAAUCCAGCUGCUUAACAGAUGGGCUGCGGAGGAUACUAUAAGACUAGGAGGCAGGAGAGGCAAGCGGUACUCAGUGGGUAGGGGUAAAAUCCGUUGAUCCAUUGAAGACCACCAGUGGCGAAGGCGGCUUGCCAGAAUGCGCUCGACGGUGAGGGAUGAAAGCUGGGUGAGCAAACCGG
rnacentral:rRNA from 1 species